rnacentral:sRNA from 2 species
GCACUGAGAGUUACAAAUGAGGUCAGCUAUUUGAUACGGACUGGCUCAAAAAUUCAAUUUGACUGUCUGCACACCAAAUCGUCAUAUUUUCUUGACCUUCUCCUCCCUUUCGAAUAUGAUAUGAUACGACGCAAUACAGUUUGUCUUUCGCCGUAUACCCUCUACAUGACCACAUCCGGUGCAUGUGGGGAUAUGUUGCAUUGAAGUCAAGAUUGCGUUCAAACCUUCUAUAUAUGGAUUCAAGGUGUCAUGAGAUUGCGCGGAUAUCAUCAAGGGUGACAUGAAAGUACGACGUUGUGAAACCGCUUGAAUCGCAGAAGUAGGGGAAAAAAACUGUGGGAGUUUGGUCAUAUCCUUUACACAAGCGGGU